AUUGAACGCUGGCGGCAUGCUUUACACAUGCAAGUCGAACGGUAACAGGCCGCAAGGUGCUGACGAGUGGCGAACGGGUGAGUAAUGCAUCGGAACGUGCCCAGUCGUGGGGGAUAACGCAGCGAAAGCCGUGCUAAUACCGCAUACGAUCUAUGGAUGAAAGCGGGGGACCGUAAGGCCUCGCGCGAUUGGAGCGGCCGAUGUCAGAUUAGGUAGUUGGUGGGGUAAAGGCUCACCAAGCCAACGAUCUGUAGCUGGUCUGAGAGGACGACCAGCCACACUGGGACUGAGACACGGCCCAGACUCCUACGGGAGGCAGCAGUGGGGAAUUUUGGACAAUGGGCGCAAGCCUGAUCCAGCAAUGCCGCGUGCAGGAAGAAGGCCUUCGGGUCGUAAGCUGCUUUUGUACGGAACGAAAAGGUUUGGGUUAAUACCCUGGGCCGAUGACGGUACCGUAAGAAUAAGCACCGGCUAACUACGUGCCAGCAGCCGCAGUAA
rnacentral:rRNA from 1 species